CCUACGGGUGGCAGCAGUGAGGAAUAUUGGUCAAUGGCCGGAAGCCUGAACCAGCCAAGCCGCGUGAAGGACGAAGGUCCCACGCAUUGUAAACUUCUUUUGUCAAGGAACAAAAUCCGGCUCGAGCGCCUGACCGAGUGUACUUGAAGAACAAGCAUCGGCUAACUCCGUGCCAGCAGCCGCGGUAAUACGGAGGAUGCGAGCGUUAUCCGGAUUUAUUGGGGUUAAAGGGUGCGCAGGCGGACGAUCAAGUCAGCGGUAAAAGUGAGGGGCUCAACGUCUUCGAGCCGUUGAAACUGGUUGUCUUGAGUGAGCGAGAAGUAGGCGGAAUGCGUGGUGUAGCGGUGAAAUGCAUAGAUAUCACGCAGAACUCCGAUUGCGAAGGCAGCAUACCGUCGCGCAACUGACGCUGAGGCACGAAAGUGUGGGUAUCGAACAGGAUUAGAUACCCUUGUAGUC
rnacentral:rRNA from 1 species